rfam:Linderina pennispora strain ATCC 12442 DL89scaffold_22, whole genome shotgun sequence.
GACGCUUUGGCCGAGUGGUUAAGGCGAUGCCCUGCUAAGGCAUUGUAGUUUCUACGCGCAGGUUCGAAUCCUGCAGGCGUCG